GUUGGAGACGGAGGCCGUGCUCUUCUCCUCAUGUCCGAUCCAUUGGGCCGUCGUCUCCUGCAGAAAUGUCAAGUCCACCUCAGCUCUAAAACACAGGUAACUCCCCAACUCAUCUGCAUAUACAUGCCCUGCAUUGUACAGAGACAUGUGUGCUAAAGUACAUCACUUGCCUCAGAUACAUUUCUCCAUCUUGGAAUCACAGAGCCUGCAGAUUUUCCCGGCUGAAAGCACCUGUCCAUGGAGGUAUGUAUGUAUGUUACUACUAUAGUAGGAGUAUAGAGAAGCAGAAGGUGUUUUUCAACUCUGAUAUAUAGCAGUGUUGUGUAGCACCACUCAAGAUGAUGUCUCUAGAUGGUGUUAAAUUUUGUAGGCAUGCGGCUGGUGUUGUUGUGGGUCAGGAUGGUUUAGUGUGCAUGCUUGUCUCAAGCUGCUAGUGGAGAAUCUUUGCUUUGCUUUGCAUUGCUUCAGAAACUCGUCAGGAAUUUUGGAGAUGGCAUGCCGGUAAAAAAGGUGUGUCAGUCAAGUUCCUUUAUAGAAUCCCUUUUGCAAAAAGGAUUAGUCCUCUGCUGAUCUCUCCCUCCUUUUUUCCUUUUUGCCAUAUCACAGGGACAUGUAGAGAAAGUGCUCUACAGAAUCGGGAAGGAAAGAAAAGAUUGAGCAAAAGGAAUGAAGAAGGCAACUCCCAGUCAGCUCUUUUGGAAAUCACAAGUUGGUAUCCACACGAAAUAAUUCCGGGCCUCUUUGGUUUGCCGGAUCUCACAUUUUUUAUAGGACGGAAAUCUACAGGAAUUAGCACCAUUGAUGUAAAAUACAUGGAGGAUUUUCAUAGGAAAAACAUAGGAACAAGGAUUCCAAAGAAAAAUUCCUACAUAUGUAUUCGGUUCGUAGGAAAUGCGUACAUGAAUUUUAUAGGAAUACUAUUCAUUUCCUAUGUUUUUGAAGAAAACUAUACAUCCACUCAAAUCUCAUUUUAUGCGUAGGAACGAGGCAAGUCAAUUUCUUAGGAUAACAAGUGUCAUCCUAUCAAAUUCCUAUAAUACUUCCAGUUCCUACGUUUUGGUUACCUCCAAACCGAACGAAGCCUUAGAAGUUUGGGUGGAUGGAAAUUUUCCUCUAAAAUCUGAAAUCGUGUGAACCAAAUGACCUUGACAAAAAAGAAAGGAAAAACUUGGGAUUAAAAUCCUAUAAAACUUCUAUAAAAAUUCCAUUGAAU
rnacentral:lncRNA from 1 species